CUAGGAAUCUGCCUGAUAGUGGGGGACAACGUUUCGAAAGGAACGCUAAUACCGCAUACGUCCUACGGGAGAAAGCAGGGGACCUUCGGGCCUUGCGCUAUCAGAUGAGCCUAGGUCGGAUUAGCUAGUUGGUGAGGUAACGGCUCACCAAGGCGACGAUCCGUAACUGGUCUGAGAGGAUGAUCAGUCACACUGGAACUGAGACACGGUCCAGACUCCUACGGGAGGCAGCAGUGGGGAAUAUUGGACAAUGGGCGAAAGCCUGAUCCAGCCAUGCCGCGUGUGUGAAGAAGGUCUUCGGAUUGUAAAGCACUUUAAGUUGGGAGGAAGGGCAUUAACCUAAUACGUUAGUGUUUUGACGUUACCGACAGAAUAAGCACCGGCUAACUUCGUGCCAGCAGCCGCGGUAAUACGAAGGGUGCAAGCGUUAAUCGGAAUUACUGGGCGUAAAGCGCGCGUAGGUUGUUUGUUAAGUUGAAUGUGAAAGCCCCGGGCUCAACCUGGGAACUGCAUCCAAAACUGGCAAGCUAGAGUAUGGCAGAGGGUGGUGGAAUUUCCUGUGUAGCGUGAAAUGCGUAGAUAUAGGAAGGGAACACCAGUGGCGA
rnacentral:rRNA from 1 species